AUGAACGCUAGCUACAGGCUUAACACAUGCAAGUCGAGGGGCAGCAUGGUCUUAGCUUGCUAAGGCCGAUGGCGACCGGCGCACGGGUGAGUAACACGUAUCCAACCUGCCGUCUACUCUUGGACAGCCUUCUGAAAGGAAGAUUAAUACAAGAUGGCAUCAUGAGUCCGCAUGUUCACAUGAUUAAAGGUAUUCCGGUAGACGAUGGGGAUGCGUUCCAUUAGAUAGUAGGCGGGGUAACGGCCCACCUAGUCUUCGAUGGAUAGGGGUUCUGAGAGGAAGGUCCCCCACAUUGGAACUGAGACACGGUCCAAACUCCUACGGGAGGCAGCAGUGAGGAAUAUUGGUCAAUGGGCGCAGGCCUGAACCAGCCAAGUAGCGUGAAGGAUGACUGCCCUAUGGGUUGUAAACUUCUUUUAUAAAGGAAUAAAGUCGGGUAUGGAUACCCGUUUGCAUGUACUUUAUGAAUAAGGAUCGGCUAACUCCGUGCCAGCAGCCGCGGUAAUACGGAGGAUCCGAGCGUUAUCCGGAUUUAUUGGGUUUAAAGGGAGCGUAGAUGGAUGUUUAAGUCAGUUGUGAAAGUUUGCGGCUCAACCGUAAAAUUGCAGUUGAUACUGGAUAUCUUGAGUGCAGUUGAGGCAGGCGGAAUUCGUGGUGUAGCGGUGAAAUGCUUAGAUAUCACGAAGAACUCCGAUUGCGAGGGCAGCCUGCUAAGCUGCAACUGACAUUGAGGCUCGAAAGUGUGGGUAUCAAACAGGAUUAGAUACCCUGGUAGUCCACACGGUAAACGAUGAAUACUCGCUGUUUGCGAUAUACUGCAAGCGGCCAAGCGAAAGCGUUAAGUAUUCCACCUGGGGAGUACGCCGGCAACGGUGAAACUCAAAGGAAUUGACGGGGGCCCGCACAAGCGGAGGAACAUGUGGUUUAAUUCGAUGAUACGCGAGGAACCUUACCCGGGCUUAAAUUGCAGAUGAAUUACGGUGAAAGCCGUAAGCCGCAAGGCAUCUGUGAAGGUGCUGCAUGGUUGUCGUCAGCUCGUGCCGUGAGGUGUCGGCUUAAGUGUCAUAACGAGCGCAACCCUUGUUGUCAGUUACUAACAGGUUCCGCUGAGGACUCUGACAAGACUGCCAUCGUAAGAUGUGAGGAAGGUGGGGAUGACGUCAAAUCAGCACGGCCCUUACGUCCGGGGCUACACACGUGUUACAAUGGGGGGUACAGAGGGCCGCUACCACGCGAGUGGAUGCCAAUCCCCAAAACCUCUCUCAGUUCGGACUGGAGUCUGCAACCCGACUCCACGAAGCUGGAUUCGCUAGUAAUCGCGCAUCAGCCACGGCGCGGUGAAUACGUUCCCGGGCCUUGUACACACCGCCCGUCAAGCCAUGGGAGCCGGGGGUACCUGAAGUGCGUAACCGCGAGGAGCGCCCUAGGGUAAAACUGGUGACUGGGGCUAA
rnacentral:rRNA from 1 species